rnacentral:rRNA from 1 species
GACGAACGCUGGCGGCGUGCUUAACACAUGCAAGUCGAACGGAAAGGCCCCCUUGUGGGGUACUCGAGUGGCGAACGGGUGAGUAACACGUGAGUAACCUACCCUUGACUUUGGGAUAACUUCAGGAAACUGGGGCUAAUACCGGAUAGGAGCUCCUGCUGCAUGGUGGGGUUGGAAAGUUUCGGCGGUUGGGGAUGGACUCGCGGCUUAUCAGCUUGUUGGUGGGGUAGUGGCUCACCAAGGCUUUGACGGGUAGCCGGCCUGAGAGGGUGACCGGCCACAUUGGGACUGAGAUACGGCCCAGACUCCUACGGGAGGCAGCAGUGGGGAAUAUUGCACAAUGGGCGGAAGCCUGAUGCAGCAACGCCGCGUGCGGGAUGACGGCCUUCGGG